rnacentral:rRNA from 1 species
CCUACGGGUGGCAGCAGUGAGGAAUAUUGGUCAAUGGGCGUAAGCCUGAACCAGCCAAGUCGCGUGAGGGAUGAAGGUUCUAUGGAUCGUAAACCUCUUUUAUAAGGGAAUAAAGUGCUGGACGUGUCCCGUUUUGUAUGUACCUUAUGAAUAAGGAUCGGCUAACUCCGUGCCAGCAGCCGCGGUAAUACGGCGGAUCCGAGCGUUAUCCGGAUUUAUUGGGUUUAAAGGGUGCGUAGGCGGGAUUUUAAGUUAGCGGUGAAAGUCUGGGGCUCAACCCUAGAAGUGCCGUUGAAACUGGGAGGCUUGAGUAUGUUUGAGGCAGGCGGAAUGCGUGGUGUAGCGGUGAAAUGCUUAGAUAUCACGCAGAACUCAGAUUGUGAAGGCAGCCUGCCAAGCCACGACUGACGCUGAUGCACGAAAGCGUGGGGAUCAAACAGGAGUAGAUACCCGGGUAGUC